rnacentral:tRNA from 1 species
GGAGGGAUGUCCGAGUGGUUAAAGGAGACAGACUGUAAAUCUGUUCGCUAUGCGUACGUAGGUUCGAAUCCUACUCCCUCCACCA